rnacentral:lncRNA from 1 species
CCUCGGCAGGUCGGGCUACGUUCUUCUACGGUCUGAGGCGUUGUCUAGAAACUCAAAAUCUCUGGAAUCCCAUCCAGGACUCCUCCAUCAAGAUUUCUUCCGAUCCUGAGUAACCAAGAAUGGAAUACUGACCCCUUCAGGAGGCAGCCCAUGCCGUUUUUUCCCAACCGCUCUAAUCUGCCCCAAAUGCUUCCUUAUAUGAAUCCAAAUUUGCCUCUCCUUGACCUCUACCCUCUGCACUGUUUCAGCCUCCGCCUCUGGGGCCUUACUAAACAAGUCCAAUCACCCUUCCACGUGACCCCUUAUCUAACUGUAGGUGGGAUUAAUGUACUUAUCUGCCCAAACAGCUCCAGUCCUUUAAACUGCCUUUUAUUGAUUGGAGCCCACCCAGGAUACUACAUUACAUUCAGAUGUCAUGUCUCCUUAGGCUCCUGCAGACUGACAAUUUCUCAAACUUUGUUUUUGAUGACUUUGACAAUUUUGAGGUGGUAUGAUAAUUUGUGAAGUGUUUCUCAUGCUUAGCCUGGAGUUACAAGGUUGGAGAAAAAGACCAAAGAUGUGAAGUGCCAUUCUCAUCACAUCAUGUCAAGGGUACAUGCUGUUAACAUGAAUUAACAUCGAUGAUGUUAACCUUGAUGUCCUGGCUGAGGUAGUUUAUUAGGCUUUUUCUCUACAAAGUUACUCCCCUCCCCGUACCUUUCCGUACUGUGUUUUUGGGAAGG